CAGCAGCAGCCACGGUAAUACGUAGGUGGCAAGCGUUGUCCGGAAUUAUUGGGCGUAAAGGGCUCGCAGGCGGUUUCUUAAGUCUGAUGUGAAAGCCCCCGGCUCAACCGGGGAGGGUCAUUGGAAACUGGGAGACUUGAGUGCAGAAGAGGAGAGUGGAAUUCCACGUGUAGCGGUGAAAUGCGUAGAGAUGUGGAGGAACACCAGUGGCGAAGGCGACUCUCUGGUCUGUAACUGACGCUGAGGAGCGAAAGCGUGGGGAGCGAACAGGAUUAGAUACCCCCGUAGUCCCUGUCUCUUAUAC
rnacentral:rRNA from 1 species